rnacentral:rRNA from 1 species
UACGGGGGGAGCAAGCGUUUGUUCGGAUUUACUGGGCGUAAAGGGCGCGUAGGCGGUCAGCACAAGUCAGUUGUGAAAUCUCCGGGCUUAACUCGGAAAGGUCAACUGAUACUGUGCGACUAGAGUGCGGAAGGGGGCAACUGGAAUUCUCGGUGUAGCGGUGAAAUGCGUAGAUAUCGAGAGGAACACCUGAGGUGAAGACGGGUUGCUGGGCCGACACUGA